UUGAAGUGUGCAAUAACUCAAUUUGCCAUUGCGCGACACUAAACAACGGCAACGGGUCAAAUCUACAAAAUUAUAGUUUUGGGAACAGAAAGCUGUAUUGGCAUCAAAUGUUUAAUCGAUUAGAAAAUGUGCAGAAUUUCGGCGGCCUUAUUGAUUUUCCCACUGGCUUCCAGUGGAAAUUGCCAAGCGGAUGCUUUCACAUGUAUAGAUCGGGUAAAAUAUCUUAUUAUUCUGUGGUAAAAAUGGUUCUAACGGAUUCGGUGAGAUUUCGGCCGGUGUGUUGACUGGGUACAGUAUGCGCUCUGGGAGUGAUUAUUCCUACUUACGCGUCCUCGUGUGGAUCCACUCCCUCCUGAUAGUCGAAGCUGAAGUCUUCGUCUGCAAGAUCAACAACAGGAUCUGGGAGUAACCAUGGAGGAACGUCCCCUAUUACCACAGAAGGGCCAUCUUCCAACUCCCUCAAACCACUUCUCAUCAGCAAGCUUUCCAACUGUCCAACCAAAACCACUGCUUUGCCUACUAGUAUAUUCCCAACUAGAACAGUAGCAGUGGUAUUCACAGCCUUUCAACCUAACCGAAUAAGCUAAUGACAAUGUUUUUAUGCCAUAAAGUACCAGUUAAAAGUUUGGACACACCCACUCAUUCCAGGGUUUUUCUUUAUUUUUUACUAUUUUCUACAUUGUAGAUUAAUAGUUAAGACAUCAAAGCUAUGAAAUAACACAUAUGCAAUCAUGUAGUAACCAAAAAAGUGUUAAAUAAAUCAAAAUAUAUUUUA